rnacentral:rRNA from 2 species
GAGAAACCCAAAAGAUCGAAUGGGGAGAUUCAUCGUCAGCGGCUUUGGCUUCCGUGCGGCUUGCGAUGGCGCUGGACUUCGGUUCAGCGUCACGCUGUCGCUGCGGCAUGUCCGGAGUCGUCGGCGUGCACUUCUCCCCUAGUAGGACGUCGCGACCCGUUGGGUGUCGGACCGAUGGCCGGUCGGUCGUCUGUUGCGCUCACGCGCUUCAGACCGAUUCGGUCGAAAGUCCGGCUGCCCGGCGGUAUUGAACGAUAUGACAUGGUAUCGGGCCGCAUCGAAUGCGUUCCUGGCUCGUCGGCAGGCUCGUCUCGCUCGGAUUUACGGACCUAGUGCCGUUGCCGGGCGCUUGGCGUGGCUGUUAGUCGACGAUGUCCUCGGACUGGCUCUUACCCGUCGGCGACGCUACUGCUUUGGGUACUUUC